UCUCCGCGCACCAGUUCCAGGUUAAGCUGAGGGUGUCGUGGGUUAAGCGGACUGCCGCGUGAGUGCAAGUGUUGGAGGAUUCCAGUGUCAAGGCCUUGACGGGAUCUGAAGCGAUAAGGAGAUAAUAGCCAUACCUGGACGAACACGACAGUACAGGGUGUAGGGGUGCUUUGCUGAGGAUGUCGUGGAUUGAGGGGAUUGUAGCGUGAGUGCAAGUGUUGCAGCAUCCUAGGGUAUGGCACACCAAGGUAUGUGGCUCCUGAAGUAUUAGAGAAUGAAGACAAGUGCAUGAAAACAUGUGCUUUUGAAGCAAAUAUAUUCUCAUUUGCAAUGACAUGUUCAAAAAUUCUUUUUAGAAAAGAGCCAUUUUAUUGAAUUUUUAAAUUGAAAGAAAUAUUGAAAAAGAUAAGAAAAGGAGAAAGAUCAGUACUACCUUCAAAUUGUGAUCACAAUUUCAUCAAUUUGAUUAAAGAAUGUUAUAGUUUUAAUCCUCCACAACAUCCAAAGUUUGGAGAUAUAUGUGAGAGACUUAUAAGUUUGAAGAUAAAGUUUUUGAUUGGAUUUUAUGAA